rnacentral:rRNA from 1 species
UGGGGAAUAUUGCACAAUGGGCGCGAAGCCUGAUGCAGCCAUGCCGCGUGUGUGAAGAAGGCCUUCGGGUUGUAAAGCACUUUUCAGUAAGGAGGAAAAGGUUAAGUGUUAAUAGCACUUAGCUGUGACGUUACUUAAAGAAGAGGCACCGGCGUAACUCCGUCGCGC